UUCUCCCUGCUGGCACACCCUUAUUUAUCUCUUACCUUGAGCCAAAGAUAUUGUGCUAUUCUGAGAGAAAUUUUCCAAAGGAGCUGCAGCGUCUCCUUGAGAUGAUGGAUCCUGGUAAAAAGAUUCCUUUGUUCACUUGGUUAUGCACAAAGCAUCAUCCGUUUCCUCCUAAUAGGUUUUUCUUCUAAGUAAAUGUCUUUUAACAAUGAGAAUUAGAAACAAAUUAUAUUCAGCUAUUCAGACCUUGCAAGGAAAGCACAAGGACUGUCAGCCUUAUGCCUUUGCCUUUUUCCUUUUUUGAUAGGCAGGCUACAGGACAAAUGCUGCACUGUGCCCUCUGCUCCCAAGUACAUGAAUGGGAAGGACAAAGAAGAACAAAACUUUGGGAAAGAGUUUCUUUCCAUCAUUAAA
rnacentral:lncRNA from 1 species